UACAGAGGUCCCAAGCGUUAUUCGGAUUCAUUGGGCGUAAAGGGUGCGUAGGUGGUGCUGUAAGUCAGGUGUGAAAUCUCGGGGCUCAACCCCGAAACUGCACUUGAUACUGCAGUGCUGGAGGACUGGAGAGGAGAUCGGAAUUCAUGGUGUAGCAGUGAAAUGCGUAGAUAUCAUGAGGAAGACCGGUGGCGAAGGCGGAUCUCUGGACAGUUCCUGACACUGAGGCACGAAGGCUAGGGGAGCAAACGGG
rnacentral:rRNA from 1 species